AUACGUGCAGGGUGGAGAUGCACAGCCCUCGGACCGUGUAGCACCGCGUCCGGCCACCGGCCCAGUGAAUGGCCGGCGAGCGGAUAAGGUCCUGAACAGAUGCCCCAUGGGCGUCCACGGCUGACGGUUGAUUCCUCCUCCUGACUGAGUGCACGAGGCCUGCUGGGUUGAUUCGGAUAUCGAUUCGGAUAUCUCUGCAGAUACCGCAGGGGCCUCUUGGCACCGCAGCAAACAGGACGCGUCGUCGCGACAACGGCAGGCUGGGAAACCGGCUGGUGCCGAACGUUGCUCGACACGGGGGUGGCCCGGCCACCCUUUGCGCACCUUGGCACCGACCAUGAGAAGUCGUGUGUGCCGAACGCCGUUUCCGGCAGCCCGGAAACCGA
rnacentral:ncRNA from 1 species